UUCAUUCUUCUUUCUCAUUUCACUUUCUUCUCCUUCUUUCAUAUUCUCCGUCUUUCUUUUCUGUUCUUCCUCUGUAAGAAUCGAGUGAUGAAUUUGAGAGCGGGUUAGAUAGAGAUUGACUAAUAAAUUAAUCAGAUGGUGAAGGAGGUGGUGUUGAUGUUAUUUAGGGAGAAAGAGAUUGACAAUUGCUAAGGUUUUGUGGUGAAUCAGGGGUUAGGGUUUCUGUUUUUAGGAUUUAUGAUGAUGAUGUUAAGUUGGUGAAGAUGAAAGAUUAAGAGGGUUAAUACUUAAUUGAAGUUGUGGAGUUGUUUUGAGGUUUGAAUCAAAGAUUUAGGGUUAUGGAGUUAACUGGAUCCUGGAAGAUGAAUUCGAGGGUUUAAGUGACGAAUUAAAGACGGGUUUUGAUUAGAUAUAGAGUAUAAUUGUUUGUUUGGUUUCAAUUUCGAUUUCAGAGAAGAAUUGAAGAAUUAGGGUUCAUGUGUUCUUCCCUAAAUUGAAGUUCCGGUUUGAGUAGAAUUGAUUUGGUAAAUUGGAAAUUCAGAGGAUAUUGAGCUUGGGUAAGUCUCUAAUUACUUUAAUUUUUGUAUUUUGAAUUGAGUUUAUUAAAGUAUUUGGUUUAUUUGAUUGAGAAUAGAACCUGGAUUGAGAUAAGUGCAGAAUGGAAUUGUGAUUAUGGUUUAUAGUUGUAGUAUGAAGAUUGUUGAAGUUGCAGGGGAUAUAUAUGUAUGAACUGUGUAUCUGAUUGUUAAGGAAGCAGAAUGGAAUGUCUAAUCAUUAUGAUGUUGUUUGUAAGGUUGAGAUGAUUGAGGGAAAGACGAUGUUUAUGGUUUGGAGUGAAGUCAUCUCAUGGUUUAGUUGAUGCCAGGAAAUUUGUAUGAGCAGUGAAUAGAAUAAUGGAUGUAUUUGAGUAGGAAGUAAUGACCUUGCAGACCUAGAAGUGAUAUUGUUACAAUCUGGUGGUGUUGAAGGGAGAUGUAAUGAGGAAUAGAGUUGUAAUAUGCUGAGUUGGAAUAGAUGAAUGUAUUAGGUGAGAUAUGGACUGGUGCGGUAUGGCUAUGAUGAAGUGGUGUUUAAAUUUGUAUGAGUUGAUGAAGAUGUUGAGUUAGUCAAGCUGAGAUUGAAUAAUGUGCAGACAGUGUAUGUUUUGAGAUGAACUUAGAUUGAUGUAGGAGUUGAGGAUAUUGGAUUUGCAGGUGAUCAAGAAAGUGAAAGGGCGGAACUUGCAGAGAAGAGCUGAGUUAAUGAUGAACUGUUGGAUGAGUCGCAGUUGAGUUGUGCAGGCCUUGUGAUUUGUGGUUAUGAAGUUCAGAUUGUAAAGGUAAUUGCAUGCUUGAAGUUGUUGAGUUUUUAUGUCUGAGUGGUAGUUAAGACUUAGGUGAGUGUAAGCUUUUGCAGAGAGGAUGAAUUGGUGCUAGUUGUUGUUAGAGUUUGCUGUAAAAGAUUGGAACUGCAUUUGCAGUUAGUAUUAACAACGAUCAAUUCAAAGGAUGAACCAGUGGAUCAUGGAUCUCGAGGUAGGCGUGGCUUGUCAUCAAAAGAGUUUCAGAGACAGAUCAGAGUUGCGCAGCGAAAGCUUCGAGGAGUUGAUUUCAUAAGUUGAUUAACUUCGGCUAUGUUUAUUAUGUUUCAUAUUAUAUUUUUUAACCAAAUGACUAUUGUAUAUAUGUAUCAUUUGAGAGAAGUUAUUGUAUUUAUAUAUUUCUGAGCGGGCUAUUUCUGGGUUAAGUUUUGUAUUCAAUUUCUUAAUAGAAUGUUUAAGUAUUUGAAUUAGAUUCGUGGUGCCUCUUUAUUUAGUUAAUCUCCUUGAUUAGUCGGUUGCUAGAUUUUGGGGCGCUAUAGUGUUGGUAUCAGAGCUCACUAUUAGAUCUUACAUGAGAAAAGAUAGAAAUAGCCAGUGUCAGUUAGUGAAAUAAAUUAGUUUAUAAUU